rnacentral:tRNA from 1 species
GGUGGUAUAGCUCAGGGUUAGAGCAUGUGCUUAGCAUGCACGAGGUCCUGGGUUCAAUCCUCGGUACCUCCA